UGGGGUUCCGCAGCCCCAUGCAGGCCACAGCUGCUCCAAGGAUUCCUUGCCAUCAGCCCCAUGCAGGGCGGCAGCUGCUCCCGGGGUUCCCUGACCCUUGCCACCUGGCCCUGCACAAGAGAAGGUAUAUUUAGGAAUCAUGACUGGAUCGACCCCUGAAAUGCCAGCUCAUUUGGAAAGGAAUAUAGCCGAUAGGAAAAUGAAUGGCAAAUAGUACACAAUUGCUGGACAAAGUAAAAGAAAAUACCAUAAAAAACUGAAAUUGCAGGAGGAAUUUAAGAUGAAAUAUCAGACUGUAGAGGAUGAAGCCAAGUGAGCAGAAACAAGAGAAUUCAAAUAAACAUUAAUUUAAAUGAAAAAGAAAAGGAA